rnacentral:rRNA from 1 species
GGCUGCAACUCGCCUACAUGAAGUCGGAAUUGCUAGUAAUCGCGGAUCAGCAUGCCGCGGUGAAUACGUUCCCGGGCCCUUGUACACACCGCCCGUCACACCAUGAGAGCCGGUAACACCCGAAGUCAGUAGCCUAACCGCAAGGGGGGCGCUGCCGAAGGUGGGAUUGGUAAUUGGGGUGAAGUCGUAACAAGGUAAC